rnacentral:rRNA from 1 species
UACAGAGGGGGCAAGCGUUGUUCGAAAUUACUGGGCGUAAAGGGCGCGUAGGCGGCCUUCUAAGUCGAACGUGAAAUCCCCGGGCUCAACCCGGGAACUGCGUCCGAUACUGGAAGGCUUGAAUCCGGGAGAGGGAUGUGGAAUUCCAGGUGUAGCGGUGAAAUGCGCAGAUAUCAGGAGGAACACCGGUGGCGAAGGCGGAUCUCUGGGCCGUAACUGACGCUGAGGAGCGAAAGCAUGGGGAGCGAACAGG